AAUGUCCUACGGGGGGCAGCAGUGGGGGAUAUUGCACAAUGGGGGAAACCCUGAUGCAGCGACGCCGCGUGAGCGAUGAAGUAUUUCGGUAUGUAAAGCUCUCUCAGCAGGGAAGAAAAUGACGGUACCUGACUAAGAAGCCCCGGCUAACUACGUGCCAGCAGCCGCGGUAAUACGUAGGGGGGCAAGCGUUAUCCGGAUUUACUGGGUGUAAAGGGAGCGUAGACGGCAGUGCAAGUCUGAAGUGAAAGGCAAGGGCUCAACCCUUGGACUGCUUUGGCAAUUGUGCUGCUGGAGUGUCGGAG
rnacentral:rRNA from 1 species